AGGGCACCACCAGGAGUGGAGCCUGCGGCUUAAUUUGACUCAACACGGGGAAACUCACCCGGCCCGGACACCGUAAGGAUUGACAGAUUGAUAGCUUUUUCAUGAUUCGGUGGAUGGUGGUGCAUGGCCGUUCUUAGUUCGUGGAGCGAUUUGUCUGGUUUACUCCGAUAACGAGCGAGACUCUAGCCUACUAAAUAGGUCGCACAUUGUCUCUGUGUGUGUGACUUCUUAGAGGGAUUUUCGGUGUUCAGCCGCACGAAAUUGAGCAAUAACAGGUCUGUGAUGCCCUUAGAUGUCCGGGGCUGCACGCGCGCUACACUGGAAGAAUCACCGUGCUUGUCCUUCCCCGAAAGGGGUUGGUAAACCCGUGAAAAUUUGCCGUGAUUGGGAUUGGAAAUUGCAAUUAUUUUCCAUGAACGAGGAAUUCCAAGUAAGUGCGAGUCAUCAGCUCGCGUUGAUUACGUCCCUGCCCUUUGUACACACCGCCCGUCGCUGCCCGGGACUGAGCCAUUUCAAGAA
rnacentral:rRNA from 1 species